rnacentral:rRNA from 1 species
AUAUAGCUCGGUUACCAGUGGGAUACCUCUGUAUUUAUAGCGUCCUUGAUGGUGAACCUGCGGAAGGAUCAUUAAAAAUGAAUCUGGGAAACCGGUCCUUCUCACCCUUGACUUAUCUUAAUUUGUUGCUGUUGGUGGGCCGGGCAAGCAUCCGGCUUCGGCUGGAUCGUGCCCGCCAGAGGACCACAACUCUGUAUUAAAUGUCAGUGUGAGUACUAGGUAUGAUAGUUAAAACUUUCAACAACGGAUCUCUUCGGUUCUGGGUCAUCGAUGAAGAACGCAGCGAAAUGAGGAUAAGUAAUGUGACUUGCAGAAUUCAAGUGAAUCAUCGCAUCUUUGAAUGCACUUUGCGCCGUACUGGUAUUCCGGAGGGCAUGCCUAGGUUCGAGUGUCAUAAUGACCAAAUCACCAUCUCGUGGUAGGACUUGGAGCUGUGCCUGUACAGGCCUCUCUUAAAACUAGUGGCCAGGUGCUCUUAAAACGUUCUCCGCGUAUUAGAUUUUUGUCGCUACAGAGUCCUUGAUUGCUACUUGCACCAACAACCUCAAUUAUUUUAAGGUUGUCCGUGCUGAUCAGGUAGGGAUACCCGCUGCAACUUAAGCAUAUCAUAA